rnacentral:rRNA from 1 species
GGAGGGUGCAAGCGUUAAUCAGAAUUACUGGGCGUAAAGAGCGCGUAGGUGGUUUUUUAAGUUCAGGUGUGAAAUCCCUAGGCUCAACCUAGGAACUGCAUUUGAAACUGGAAAACUAGAGUUUCGUAGAGGGAGGUAGAAUUCUAGGUGUAGCGGUGAAAUGCGUAGAUAUCUGGAGGAAUACCCGUGGCGAAAGCGGCCUCCUAAACGAAAACUGACACUGAGGCGCGAAAGCGUGGGAGCAAACAGGAUUAGAUACCCCUGGUAGUCCAUGCCGUAAACGAUGUCGACUUGGAGGUUGUUUCCAAGAGAAGUGACUUCCGAAGCUAACGCAUUAAGUCGACCGCCUGGGGAGUACGGCCGCAAGGCUA